rnacentral:tRNA from 1 species
UGCCAAGUAGCUCAGCGGUAGAGCGGGGGACUGUUAAGCGAUUAGCCGGAAGUUCGAUCCCUCCUUUGGCAA